UGGGGGAUAUUGCACAAUGGGCGAAAGCCUGAUGCAGCGACGCCGCGUGGGGGAUGAAGGCCUUCGGGUUGUAAACUUCUUUUGCUCUGAACAAGGCGCACCAUGGGGUGUGUUGAGUGUAGGGGUUGAUUAGCGCCGGCUAACUACGUGCCAGCAGCCGCGGUAAUACGUAGGGCGCGAGCGUUGUCCGGAAUUAUUGGGCGUAAAGGGCUUGUAGGUGGCUGGUUGCGUCUGUCGUGAAAGCUCAUGGCUUAACUGUGGGUUUGCGGUGGGUACGGGCUGGCUUGAGUGCAGUAGGGGAGGCUGGAAUUCCUGGUGAAGCGGUGGAAUGCGCAGAUAUCAGGAGGAAUACCGGUGGCGAAGGCGGGUCUCUGGGCUGUUACUGACACUGAGGAGCGAAAGCAUGGGGAGCGAACAGG
rnacentral:rRNA from 1 species